UAGCUCAGUGGCAGAGCGCUUGCCUAACAUGCAUGAGGCACUAGGUUCGAUCCUUG
rnacentral:tRNA from 1 species